rnacentral:ncRNA from 17 species
UUUAAAUUAAUAAAUGAGUUUCGUAUAAUUCCAAUAAUAUGGUUUGGAAGUCUCUACUAGGAACCUAUAAUUCCUAAUUACGAAGAAAAUUUUAUGCAAA